CGGGAUGUGACUCAGCUUGUUAGAACGCUGCGUUCGGGACGCAGAGGUCGCAAGUUCAAAUCUUGUCGUCCCGA
rnacentral:tRNA from 1 species